ensembl:lncRNA
UGGGCUCCUGGUGCUCGUGCCAUAGAAGGGAGCUUCCUGCAUCAUCUGAGGCUGUUUUCGGGGAACCCAGUCCUCUCUUCUGUGCUGCAAGAGGCCAGCUGCACGCUGGGGCAGGUGGGUGGGGCGGGGGGGGGGGCUGGCUCGUCACUGAGGCACCACAAGGGAGGAAGACAGGCUUCCCUGACCUUGACUCAGACCUGCCAAGCAAGCCAGCCUCCUAAGAGGGAUCGCAUGGAUCGGUCGCUCGAUUGUGUCCACGUGGCCAGGCGCGCAGGACGAACAGCACGGGAGAUGCCGAAAGGAAGGAUGUGUGCUGGGACCCAGGCUGCCUUCAUGAAGAACCAGCUGGGAGAUGCCGAAAGGAAGGAUGUGUGCUGGGACCCAGGCUGCCUUCACGAAGAAUCAGCUGCAGGUGCUCCAUGCCUUUUGCCUCUUGAUCCACACAUGGUGUGGCCACAUUCCACUGAGAUCCUACAGGGUCCUGGAGAUUCCCGGGGCUGAAGCAGACCCCUCUCAGCGUGGGUGCCCCAGAAGGACCUGAUGGAGACCUGCUGUCUGAUGGAGCGUGGCCACUAGAGCUCUCUGCACGGGGCUGUCCACAAGCUUCUCAAACUCGACACGUCCAGACGAAAGUCACCAUUUUCUCCAAACCCGCUCUGCUAUCUGUAGACGCCACGUAGAGGAAAGGCACCGCCUCGUCCUGUGCUGGAAAUCUGGAAAUCAUUCCUGGCCUCCCCCUCCCCUGCCUGUGCCGCUCUCACAGCUGUCAAAUGCUGGCCCUUUUCUCUCUGAUUUAGUCCCCUCGUCCCCUGGCCCCUGUCCUGGUUGGAGUCCUCCUCCAGAGGACCAUCUAAUCCUCUGUUG